rnacentral:misc_RNA from 1 species
GUCGGGCACGGUGAAGUGGUUCAACGGCUCCAAGGGCUUCGGCUUCAUCACCCCCGAUGACGGCAGCGAGGAUCUGUUCGUCCACCAGUCGUCGAUCAAGUCCGACGGCUACCGGUCCCUCGGAGAGGGAGAGGCCGUUGAAUUCGCUGUCUCCUCCGGCGAUGAUGGCCGCACCAAGGCCGUUGAAGUCACCGGCCCGGACGGCGCAGCCGUCAAGGGGGGUGACGGUGGCGGCGGCGGUGGUGGGGGCGGUCGCGGAGGCGGCGGGUUUGGAGGUGGUGGCCGCGGCGGCGGCGGAAGCUACGGAGGCGGGGGCGGAAGCUACGGCAGCGGCGGCGGAAGCUAUGGAGGCGGCGGCGGUAGCUACGGCGGCGGCGGUGGCUACAACGGUGGCGGAGGAUACAACGGUGGCGGCAGCGGUGGUCGCAGUGGCGGUAGAAACGGUGGAGG